rnacentral:rRNA from 1 species
CCCCUCCCCGCGGGCACAACGAACCCCGGCGCGAACCGCGCCAAGGAACCAAACAAAGAUGUGCGUCCCCCACGCCUGGGAACAGUGUCGGGGGGGACGCGUCGUCGUCCAUAUUACAUAUGAAACGACUCUCGGCAACGGAUAUCUCGGCUCUCGCAUCGAUGAAGAACGUAGCGAAAUGCGAUACUUGGUGUGAAUUGCAGAAUCCCGUGAACCAUCGAGUUUUUGAACGCAAGUUGCGCCCGAAGCCGUCAGGCCGAGGGCACGCCUGCCUGGGUGUCACGCAACGUCGCCAACAACCCCCUCAACCCCCUGCGAAGGGAACGGCGAGGGGUGGCGGAGAUUGGCCUCCCGUGCGCUCCCGCUCGCGGUUGGCCCAAAGAACAGCCCCCUGGCGAUGGCAGCCACGGCACGCGGUGGUUGGAAGCACUGGCUACUCGAACCGCUGUGGGCGAGCCUCGUCGACGGGGAGCGAAAGACCCUGACGCAAGCGUCCCAAC